rnacentral:rRNA from 1 species
AACGAACGCUGGCGGCAGGCCUAACACAUGCAAGUCGAGCGAGACCUUCGGGUCUAGCGGCGGACGGGUGAGUAACGCGUGGGAACGUGCCCUUUUCUGCGGAAUAGCCUCGGGAAACUGAGCGUAAUACCGCAUACGCCCUUUGGGGGAAAGAUUUAUCGGAAAAGGAUCGGCCCGCGUUGGAUUAGGUAGUUGGUGGGGUAAUGGCCUACCAAGCCUACGAUCCAUAGCUGGUUUGAGAGGAUGAUCAGCCACACUGGGACUGAGACACGGCCCAGACUCCUACGGGAGGCAGAAGUGGGGAAUUUUAGACAAGGGGGGCAACCCUGAUCUAGCCAUGCCGGGGGAGUGAUGAAGGCCUUAGGGUUGUAAAGCUCUUUCAGCUGGGAAGAUAAGGGCGGAACCAGCAAAAGAAGCCCCGGCAAACCCCGG